GCCUUACACAUGCAAGUCGAGCGGUAGCAUCUCUAGCUUGCUAGAAGAUGACGAGCGGCGGACGGGUGAGUAAUGCAUAGGAAUCUGGCCAAUAGAGGGGGGAUAGCCCGGAGAAAUCCGGAUUAAUACCGCAUACACUCUAUGGAGAAAAGCAGGGGGGAUCUUCGGACCUUGUGCUAUUGGAUGAGCCUAUGUCGGAUUAGUUAGUUGGUGGGGUAAAGGCCUACCAAGGCAGCGAUCCGUAGCUGGUCUUAGAGGAUGAUCAGCCACAUCGGGACUGAGACACGGCCCGAACUCCUACGGGAGGCAGCAGUGGGGAAUAUUGCACAAUGGGCGCAAGCCUGAUGCAGCUAUGCCGCGUGUGUGAAGAAGGCCUUAGGGUUGUAAAGCACUUUCAGUAGUGAGGAAGAGUGUUGUGUUAAUAGUGCAAUGCUGUGACGUUAGCUACAGAAGAAGGACCGGCAAACUCCGUG
rnacentral:rRNA from 1 species